GGCAAGGUUAUGUAACUCUCUGAGGCCAUGUGGUUAGUAACAAAAUCCCCAAUGAUAGUCACAUGGCCGUGUGUCUGGCCGUGUAACUAGCUAUGGCUAUGUGACAUUAAAAUACCUUGAAAAUAUAGUAGCACACAACUGUGUCGAGCACCCGUGUGGGACGCACACCCAUGUGGUAGACUGUGUGACCCAAAAAUCAUACAUGAUUUGCCAUUGAUUUUUAUGGUUAGGACACAUACCUUUCAC
rnacentral:lncRNA from 1 species